UGGGUAAAAUUAAGUUUUGCCAAGAAUCUUGGCAUUUAGACGUUGACAUAGGUGUUUUAGCGAAGCGUAAUACACCCUCUGGAACGAGAUUGGAACUGAUUCAAAAAUUGGUGUCAGGUUGAGUCUGGUUGGUAUUGUUUAAAACGAGGACCCUUGUCAUAGUAGAUGCUGGCACGAAAAAGAUCCCUCCCUGCUCAAUGGACUUGAUAACCGAGUAAAGGUCAACAUUUGCAGCUCUCCACCUGCAGCAAGUGGCGGCGUCUCUAUACUCUGUCCAAGUGAAAAAUUCUCGAGAGGGACGUUAACCAACAAACAAAUAUAGAUAUACGGCUUCAUAAUAGUUUUGUCACUUGUAUGUACCAGAAUGGACGCCCAUAAGUCUAUAUGGCACUUUCCAUGAUGCAGCAACAUUUAUAGAACCUUUUCCAUCGCGAUCGAAAAAAGAAAAGACCAAUAAGAAAAUAAUUGUUAAAUUCAGUAGUCCAAUCGAAGGCAAGCAAAAACCCGUUAACUUUAUGAAGUCUUUGUUCCAAGGAAUGAUGUGCGGAUUUUCAUCGAAAGGGAAUUCAAAGUGAUUGAUUCAAAUUCUGGUGCUACUUUGAAAAACGGAAAAAAAUUAUUCAAACAGUUGUCAGUUGUAGUUGAAAUUUAACGUGUAUGGAAGAAAAUGGUCUAUCAAAAUCGAUAAUAGACAGAUCUAUUCAAAUCAUUUUGUUUUAAUGUUUAUCUCGAUAGAUCAAGAACGAAUGGUAUCCAGUAUACACAUGUAUUUUGAAGCAGAUACUGGUACAUGUAUGUUACUAUAAUUCAUUAGAUUUGUUCUGUUUCCUUUUUUCAUUGUUUUUUUAACAAGAUAUUAUUCUAAUGUAAUUUUUUAAAAAUAAAAUUUCAAGGUACAAUGCAUUAAAUAUGUGCAAUUUAUAUUCAUUAAAAAUAAUUUAAAAAAUGAA